GUCCUCGUACGGGACGCAGCAGUGAGGAAUAUUGGUCAAUGGACGAAAGUCUGAACCAGCCAUGCCGCGUGCAGGAAGACGGCUCUAUGAGUUGUAAACUGCUUUUGUACAAGGGUAAACCUGAAUACGUGUAUUCAGCUGAAAGUACUGUACGAAUAAGGAUCGGCUAACUCCGUGCCAGCAGCCGCGGUAAUACGGAGGAUCCAAGCGUUAUCCGGAUUUAUUGGGUUUAAAGGGUGCGUAGGCGGAUUGAUAAGUUAGAGGUGAAAUGUCCGGGCUCAACUCGGGAA
rnacentral:rRNA from 1 species